rnacentral:rRNA from 1 species
UACGGGGGGGGCAAGCGUUGUUCGGAAUUACUGGGCGUAAAGGGCUCGUAGGUGGCCAACUAAGUCAGACGUGAAAUCCCUCGGCUUAACCGGGGAACUGCGUCUGAUACUGGAUGGCUUGAGUUUGGGAGAGGGAUGCGGAAUUCCAGGUGUAGCGGUGAAAUGCGUAGAUAUCUGGAGGAACACCGGUGGCGAAGGCGGCAUCCUGGACCGACAUUGACGCUGAGGAGCGAAAGCCAGGGGAGCAAACGGG